GGGUUUGCUAACUUAGUGCUUACUACUUCAGUUCAGUCUUCACUCUAGUCUUCACUCUUCAGUGUUUAGCCAUUUCAUCGAGGAGGAGACGAGAAUCGACUGCGAGUUUAGGACGAGAAUCGACUGCUUAGGAUAUCAGUCUACGUCUCUACGAGUUACGACCAGUCUAUGGUUUUUUCCUGUGGCUUCUGCUUUUCAUCUAGGUUCUUCAAUCAAUGCUUCCAAUCAAAGAUGAAGAGGUCGUUCUUGGACAAUAUGAAGGCUAUAAGGAUGACCCAAUGGUUCCUGACAACUCAAAUACUCCUACUUUUGCAACUAUGGUUUUACGCAUACACAAUGAAAGAUGGGAAGGUGUGCCCUUUAUAAUGAAGGCUGGAAAAGUUUUGAACAACACUCUGUCACUCUCUGAGGCUGGAAAAGCUAUGUCGACUACUCUCUGAGGGUUAUAGGAGGCGAUUUCCAGCUCGAUUCGAUUCCUCACUCCUCAAUUUCAGAGGCCAUUGAAUGAUGAUGAGCAAAGGAUAAAUGUUCCAAAGGCCAUAACAUGUAAUGAAAGUAAAAGAGAAGUUUCUGUUUUACAAAAUGUAGCUAACAAGCAAGUAGACAAAGUAUUCACUUUUGACAAGGUUUUUGGCCCAAAAGCACAACAGAGAUUAACCCUGGAAUGGUUUAUAUGCAUCUUCUGGAAUGGUGGUAACAAGUCUUGUAUGGAUUAACCCUGAUAAAGCGAAUCCAACUUACAACAACUAUAUCUGUUUGAAUUCAGGCUCGUGCAAGAGAAGCGGGGGAAAUCAAUAAGAGUUUGCUUACUCUUGGUCGUGUUAUAACAACUUUGGUUGAACACUCUAUUCACAUAGCUUAGGUUCAAGUGCAAUCAUGCCCCGUGCUACUGCUCAACGCCCCGUGAGGUCGUGCUACUGCUCAAGACUAGUUGUUGAGGGAUGCCCUCUCUGUUUUUUGUUGCACUAUGUUUAACUGUUUAAGUGUUAAGACUGUGCAGACUUGCAGUUGGCCAGUUGCAGUGUUGCAUUGUGUUUAAGUGUUAAUACUUAAGGCAGGGUUAAGACUGUUUUUGUUGGACUGUUUUUAACUUGUUUAACUGUGUUUAAGUUGUUGGACUGUGUUAAGUGUUUAACUGUGUUUAAGACUUUAAGUUGUUUAAUAUAGUUGUGUAAUCAGU